rnacentral:lncRNA from 1 species
AGACCAUAAAAAUACUAAGUAAUUUUUAAUCAGUUCAAAGGAACCUCAAAAGAAUUACAAAGAAAUAAUAAAAAAUCUUAAAAAAAUAUAAGAAUGAUCACAAAUAUAUUUCAAAUAAAUCUCAAUCCAAUCUUAAUUUAAUCUUAGUUAAAAUCCUAUUGGACUUCAAUCAAACUUUAGGCCAAAAACUAACUAAAUCUUAAAUCCUAAAUAAAUUUUAAUUCCUAAAUCAACUUCUAAUCAAAUCCUAAUCCUAAAUCAAAUCCUAACCAAAUCCUAAAUAAAUCCUUAAUUCUAAAUUCUAAACCAAAUCCUAAUCAAAUCCUAACCCUAAAUCAAAUCCUAAUCAAAUCCUAAAUCCUAAAUCAAAUCCUAAUCAAAUCCUAAAUAAAUCAUAAAUACUAAAUCAAAUCCUAAAUCAAAUCCUAACCAAAUCCUAAAUCUUAAAUCAAAUCUUAAUCAAAUCCUAAACCUA